CUGUAAGCAUAGUUUAACAAAAACAUUAGAUUGUGAGUCUAAC
rnacentral:tRNA from 1 species